GACGAACGCUGGCGGCGUGCUUAACGCAUGCAAGUCGAGCGGAAAGGCCCUUCGGGGUACUCGAGCGGCGAACGGGUGAGUAACACGUGAGUAAUCUGCCCCUCACUCAGGGAUAACCACGGGAAGCUGUGGCUAAUACCUGAUAGGACCACGUCUCGCAUGGGGUGGGGUGGAAAGCUUUUGCGGUGGGGGAUGUGCUCGCGGCCUAUCAGCUUGUUGGUGAGGGAGUGGCUCACCAAGGCUUCGACGGGUAGCCGGCCUGAGAGGGUGACCGGCGAAACUGGGACUGAGACGCGGCCAAGACUCAUACGGGAGGCAGCAGUGGGGAAUAUUGGACAAUGGGCGAAAGCCUGAUCCAGCAACGCCGCGUGAGGGAUGACGGCCUUCAGGUUGUAAACCUCUUUCACCUCUGACGAAGCGCAAGUGACGGUAAGGGGAGAAGAAGGACCGGCCAACUACGUGCCAGCAGCCGCAGUAAAAC
rnacentral:rRNA from 1 species